ACAAAAACAUAAAAGUUUUCUUUUUCUAAAAAGUGAAUUUCUAUCAACAACAACAAAAUGCCUUGCAAAGGAUGCGGUAAUGGUUGCAAAUGCACUGCCCAAAAGUGCGGCGACAGUUGUCCCUGUGACCAGCACUGUCAUUGCCCCUGCAAAUCGGGUUCCAAGGAUGAAUGCUGCAA